UUAAGUUCAGCGGGUAUCCCCGCCUGAUCCGAGGCCAAACUUGUGAUAAGUUCGAAGAAAGGCGGUCGAACGCCGGCUCCACAGAACGACUUGACUGAUAUGGUCUUGCUACGCUCGUGGUCCGACGCCCGACGCCCACACGUUCCAGACGUCCGAUCUCUCGGGUCGUCCAACAUCAAGCAGGGCUUGGAGUGUGUAAU
rnacentral:misc_RNA from 1 species